rnacentral:rRNA from 1 species
UACGUAGGGGGCAAGCGUUGUCCGGAUUUAUUGGGCGUAAAGAGCUCGUAGGCUGUUCGGUAAGUCGGGUGUGAAACCCCCAGGCUCAACCUGGGGACGCCACCUGAUACUGCUGUGACUCGAGUCCGGUAGGGGAGCGUGGAAUUCCUGGUGUAGCGGUGAAAUGCGCAGAUAUCAGGAGGAACACCAGCGGCGAAGGCGGCGCUCUGGGCCGGUACUGACGCUGAGGCACGAAAGCGUGGGGAGCAAACAGG